GGGGGCAUAGCUCAGUUGGUAGAGCGCCAGCUUUGCAAGCUGGAAGUCAGGAGUUCGAAUCUCCUUGCCUCCACCA
rnacentral:tRNA from 1 species